rnacentral:rRNA from 1 species
GGGUCAGUAGGUUGGUCGUGCCACCGGUACGUACUGGUCUCACUGAUUCCUCCUUCCUGAAGAACCGUAAUGCCAUUAAUUUGGUGUUGCGGGGAAACAGGACUGUUACUUUGAAAAAAUUAGAGUGUUUAAAGCAAGCUAACGCUUGAAUACAUUAGCAUGGAAUAACGAAAUAGGACGAUCGAUCCUAUUUUGUUAGUUUCUAGGAUUGACGUA